AGAGAUGUGGACAGAUAUGCAGAUAAAACACAUUAGAUAUCAAACAAACUCAGGACACUAGAACUUAGCACUCUGUGCAAACCUCAGCUAUCAAAAAUGAGUUCAAUCAAAGCAGAUAAUGUUUAGAUGCUAUGCAAGUUUAGCAACAAGUGCCUCAUACUAUACAACACAUUUUGGUGACCAAAUGGAAAAAAGCAUCUUUGCCACUAAGUCGUAUAUUAAAGCAGAUACAGAAUUUAGCUUGUUAAAAUUGCAUUCAACUUUUUAGAGCCAGAAAUGUCUCACUUCAUAUUUAAAAUUCUGCAUUUUGACAUACUACUCACUAUUUGCAAAAUAUGAGUAGCAACAGAAAUGCUGUAAGAAGUUGGUUUCCUAACACGCAGCCUAAGAGAGAACAACUGUAUAUACUGGGCUGAAAACUUGUUUUACGUUCCGUUUAAUUUUUCCACAAAGAAAAAAACAGGAGGAACAAAUGCCUGAUUUUAUACACUACUGAAAACAGAAUUAGUAGAGUUUAAGUAUCAAAACAACUCUAAAGGCAUGCAUUAUAACAUGUUUUAGUCUUCAUACACAUUGUACAUCGUAUAUAUCUGAAUGCACUUUAAAUGCUUAUACAUGCUUGAAGGCUAUAGAGCCAUCAGAUUAUUGACAGUAAUCAAAGUGAUAAAUGUAUAUAUAAUUGCAUACAGUAAUAAAUUAAGGUUAAACAUAGAGUCAAUUUUAUUCCUUCAACUACCUGUCUUUUAUUAGAUGAUUACAUGCUUAAUUCUUAAAGAAUGUAUCUAGUUUGACAUUUGAAGGCCAAGUAAUAGAAAAAAAUACAAGGGAUUAUCAUUUUAACCAUAAUUCUUUGAGUUACUACGUUUUAUUUUCUGCUAAUGUUCCUAUGAAUCUCCUCCAGACUCCCAUUUCACUAGAUGUACUCUGCUGUACUGAGGAUGAGUUCUAAUGAUCUCAGUUCAGUGGACAUUGUUUUGGAUCAAUUCCACAUCUUUAACUCAGUACCUAAUUUGAGCUGAAAUUCAGGCAUCUCCCUAAAAAAAACUUUAAGCCUGCUUCAUUUACAUAACAAGCAUACUGCUUUAAAGCCACUGAUAAGAGAUCGAUUUAGAAAACAGAUCCAUUUGUAUAAAUACAAAGUGUCAUCACAUAACAGUGGCCUGAAUUUUACUUGGGAUUCCAUACACUGAUAAAAAACUCUGCUUCUAGUAACAGUUUUGCUCAAGCCAAAAGUGAAGAAACAAGCAUGAAGCAGAAGACUACAUAGUGAUGAAUCAACCUUCAACAGGACAGAUUCAGCUGCUGACUUUAGAUUAGAACAUACUUUCUACUCAUCUGACUGUGUGUUUCCUGUAAACUUCUGAACUUCAGACAAGUCUGGGCAUUCAACUACAAAGUUUAAUUUUGC
rnacentral:lncRNA from 7 species